GGUGCACUGGGGGGGUCCCUCAGCCUGGAUUGCGAGAGGGUGCAAGCCAGGCCAAGGGACACCACCAGUGCACG
rnacentral:pre_miRNA from 1 species